rnacentral:rRNA from 1 species
UACGGGGGGGGCAAGCGUUGUUCGGAAUUACUGGGCGUAAAGGGCUCGUAGGCGGCCAACUAAGUCAGACGUGAAAUCCCUCGGCUUAACCGGGGAACUGCAUCUGAUACUGGAUGGCUUGAGUUCGGGAGAGGGAUGCGGAAUUCCAGGUGUAGCGGUGAAAUGCAUAGAUAUCUGGAGGAACACCGAUGGCGAAGGCAGGUCUCUGGGCCACUACUGACGCUGAGAAGCGAAAGCAUGGGGAGCGAACAGG